rnacentral:rRNA from 1 species
AUUGAACGCUGGCGGCAGGCCUAACACAUGCAAGUCGGGCGAGCGGAGGACGGGUGAGCAAUGUAUGGGCAUCUGCCUGAUGGAGGGAGAUCACUGGUAGAAAAGGUAGCUACUAGCGCAUAACAUCAUAUGAACCCAUGUGGGAUUAGCUUGUCGGUGAGGUAACGGCUCAUCUAGGCGACGCUCCCUAGCUGGUCUGAGAGGCUGAUCAGCCACACUGGGACUGAGACACGGCCCAGACUCCUACGGGAGGCAGCAGUAGGGAAUAUUGCACAAUGGGCGCAAGCCUGAUGCAGCCAUGCCGCGUGUAUGAAGAAGGUCUUCGGGUUGUAAAGUACUUUUAUUCGGGAGGCGUUACCUACACAGAAAGCACCGGCUAACUCCGUGCCAGCAGCCGCGGUAAUUC